ACUAGUUUGGCAGAGAAGUGCCUUGAAGUUAGAUUUCAAUAAUGUAAUAGUUAGUUUAAUUACAAUUAGUA
rnacentral:tRNA from 1 species